GCACCGAGGACCGGCGUGCGUCUGAGCGUCGUCUGAAGGCAGAGAUGAUCCACAGCCAGCAGGGUGUUCCCGACAGGAGGGGGCGUGGCGUGGAUUACCACAGAUCUGACCGCUGACACCCACCUGAGGGAGACGCUGCCUCAGAUCUCCAGGCUGCUUGGUCGUGGUCUUUCUGCUCCAGAACAUCUUCAUCAACUACGUCUUCUUCUGAAGAGGCCCUCAGAUGCUGCAGUCUCUGACCUUAAGGAGGAACUGCUGCUUUCACUCUGUAACCAGACGGCGGUUAUUUUAAAGACCCAGCUCCUGGAGGCUUUGAGUGAAAAUUUAACAUCCAUCAAAACAGAACUACAGACAGUUAAAUGUGAGCUGUCGGUCAGUAUUUCAAACAUCAGUCUGACCCGGGUGUCCUAAAGCUCGCUGUGGGUGAAACAGAAACUUCAGUCUCCACAUCAGCGACGACAUCGUCACACUCCACAGCAGAGCACCUGUCUGCUGAACGUCUAAAAGUGGACUGUAAAGGUGAAGAAUGUAAGCAGCGGAACAGAUGUGAGCAGAAAGAAGUCAUUUUCUUUUCUCUCUGGUUGACUUGAUGCUGUCAGAUGCAGAUGUUGGAGCUGAUUCUGAUCUUUCAGGAGAAAAAGCUGCUUUUCCUUCUCAGACUUUUCAGGAAAUUAUUCUCUCAGGUUUUCUCCGCUGUUUAUAUUUUUAUUAUCUGUGAUUAUUUCAUUAUUGUAAAAUAAAGUUGGAGGCAUAAAGACUCA